GUUCUCUUUACGCCUCCUCAUAUAAAUAGGAUUUAGUGAAACAUGUGAUGAGCCAUCUUUGGUGAGUAUAGUUGGGUUCUUGCCAAAUAUCCCAUUUUACUUGGGUCAAACAACAAUAUAGGAUAUAUAUCAUAAAGGGUUUAUAUAAAACUGUACAGGUGUUAUUUUGUGGCUCAUGCAUAGCGUUUCUUAAAAGUACAAUGCAAAAAUACUACCUUGUUACAAGGCAUUUGCCUGCACAAGAAUUUCUGUAGAAUUAUGUUUUUAAAUAGGGACGAUUCUGCACUCUACGAACCAAUCAAGCGGUAAAUAUGGAUUUAGAUACAUGCAAUUAUGGAUGCAACACACAUCAUGACUGAUGUUAAAAAUUCAUGAAUGUUAAACUCAGGGUUUCUGCCCAUAAAGCACCCAUGGGCAGUACUUCUGAGGUUGGGAGCAUCAACGAAAGUGUUGAAGGGACACUAUAGUCACCAAACAACUUUAGCUUAAUGAAGCCAUUUUUGUGUAUAGGUUAUGCACCUGCAGUCUCACUGCACAACUCUCUGCCAUUUAGGAGUUAAAUCACUUCUGUAUCUUUUUAUGCAGCCCUAGACUCGCCUCUUAUGGCUGUAGCUCAUGCAGCCUGCAUAAAAAAAAAAAUGGUUACAUUUUCGAUCAUAAGUUUUUAUCUCCUGCUUUGUUACUGGAACUUUUAUCGCAUACAGGAGACUCCUGCAGGUUCUAGCAAGCUAUUAACAAUGCAGGAGAUAAGACAUUUUUAAAUUAAACAGACUGUGCAAUAAUGGAAGUGUAAACAUAAGAUCUCAUCUUACAGGAAGUGUUUAGGAAGGCUGUGUAAGUCACAUGCAGGGAGGUGUGACAAGCCCAAAAACAAAGUGAGUUAACUCCUAAAUGGUAGAUAAUUGAGCUGUGAGACUGCAGGGGCAUGAUGCUAUGUCUUGGUUCCUAACAUGUCCCUUUAAGUUACUGUUAGCAAUCAAUGCCACACCUAAGUAAUAAUGGGUUUGGCAUACCCAAAAGGGUGUUUUUCUUCAACCAAUAAAAGUGCUAAACUGACUUUUUUUUUUACCAGGAUCUGGACUAGUGACAGACGUGGAAUGGGUGGAUUUUUUCUCUCCCCCACUGGUUUUUAUGGGAGAGAAAACGAAUGGCUUCGAAUAACAUUUAACCCCCAUUAACACCCUCUAGCGAGCAUCAUUGGAUUAGGAGAGUCAGCUAUAUCCAGUAAUGGCUGGUUGUUGUUUUUUUAGUUUUCUUUUCUGCUGUCGAUGUAUGGAGUUAAAUUCAUCAGCAGGAAUACAACAGAAGCAAGCUGUUUGAAGUUUAUAUAAAUUGUGGAAUUAAUGCAAUGCAAUUAAAUAACACCACCACCCAUCUGCAUUAUAUUGUAGGCUAUUUUGGGCAAAAUGUUCUAUUUAUAACGCAUUGCAUGUUACAGUUUAAUAAUUUCACAAAUGGUUUUUAGGAUUGUACUCAAGGGUGCAUUUUUCGUAACUGUGACUUAUUGUUGUGAGUACAAUAGGAACCAUGCAGAGUCUAUUUUAACUCCUUCUCCUCUGCAUACAUCAUCAGAAUGUGCGAUGUUCUACAGGGCUGACAAGCCUACUAUAAUAUCUAUGUUUCCAUUACAGGGCAAACUAAAAUAGCAAGAACACUAUAGAGAUGCCUGCUGGAUCUCUCACAAUUUUCAGACAUUUAAUAUAUAAUACACAGUGAACAUUGUAUCAAAAAGCUUGCAAUCAUUUUUUGUUUGAUUAGAAAACAUUGUUUCUACCUCUGCGGUAAAGGGGAAUACUUUGUAUUAAUUCAUUAUGUUGGGGGCAUUGCUAAAUACAAAAAAGACAAACACCUGGGGCGUAAGCCAAAUCAAAAAAGCUACACCUCUAUUGCUCUACCUCUUUUCUGCUGCUCUUCUACCUUCCUUGCACUCUCUUAGCAAGUUAAAGGUACUCUUCUAUUCAUGUACAAUGUUCUCUGCCAUUUAUUGGUGUUUUUACGGGGGGGGGGGGGGCAAUGCCUUGCCUACCGUGUGCCAUCCUAUCAAACUGCUACCACUUUAAGACCAUCAGUUUUUUUCUCAUCUAGAUUGAGACCUGGCAGCUCAUGUACUCCCUGCCAUGUCUAUUCACAAACAGGAAUAUACAUAGGACACAAGGUCAUGCAUUUAGACUGGAAGAAAGAAGAUUUAGUCUAAGGCAAAGGAAAGUUUUUUUUUACCGUAAGAACAAUAAGGAUGUGGAAUUAUCUGCCUAAAGAAAUGGUUUUAUUAGAGUCCGUGCAGAUGUUUAAACAGCAACUAGAUGCAUACUUGCAAAUACAUAAUAUUCAAUUAUAUAAUUUUUCAACUGUAGGGUAAUAGCUUUUUGAUCCAAGGAUAAAUCUGACUGCCAUUCAGGGGUCAAGAUGGAAUUUGUAUUUUAGUUUUUUGCUAAAUUGGAAGUGCUUCAAACUGGGGGGUUUUGCCUUCAUUUGGAUCAACAGCAAAAAUCAUAUGUGAGGAAGGUUGAACUUGAUGGACACAUGUAUCUUCAGCCUACGUAACUACGUCUCUUUAUCAGUUUCCUAGAGGGGGUGCAAUGUGUGGAAUGAGACAGAAAUCACAUCCCUUUCUCUCUACACAUCCAGAAAGCUCCUACUACGUGUCAGGUAUGGGGAGGGGCAGGAUGCCUGAAGGAGGAAACAGCUAUGUGAUGGCUUUAAUGGCAAACUGCUGGCAGGAUAGGGAGGGAGCUGCACCCAUUACAGCCCCUAUACUUAAUACAGUCCAUUGCACCCACUAAACCCACUUACAGUCAAUUGCACCCACUACUACCUUUGUUACCCCCUGAAGCCACCAAAGCCCCCAUUACUCUCUGCACCAUCUACAGCACCUAACCUUCCUCUAUACCGACUACAGACCUGCAACUACUACUCAUAUGACUUUGUGAUGGAAAUUAUUAGUGCCCCCCCCUGUUUUGACUGUGGCAUCUUCAUGCCCCACCCCCCAUGUAGUCCUAGAGUUGCCACUGCUGAUAUUGUCUCUUUUCAGUCUACGAUUUCCUUUCCAUCUUCUCACCAUCUCUCUUACAUCCUAACUCCCACCCAUUUGAUCUGCUCUUCCAUGUUCCCUCACUAUUUUUUUCCCAAUCACUUUCUGCACAUCUCUUGACUACCCCAUGAUCUUCGUUUCAUCCCUCUUCCCACAUCUUGCUCUUCUGCCUUCACAGCUCUGUCAGUCUCCC
rnacentral:lncRNA from 1 species